UGUAUUGGUUAACAUUUAUGACAACAGGGGGCUAUUUUAUAUGAAAGUGUGUUAUUUGUCCUACAACAGCAAUACUGAAACUAUGCUAGUGCCACACUGUAAUGCAGAAGUAGUAGUAUAAGGUACACCUGUUAACUAAUCAUUAACACAAUUUUAUUUGUAUAGCCCCUUUCAACAUAAAAAUUACAGGGCUAUAAAGGGGCUAUCUUAAAUAAGUCAAACGUGAGUGAACAAAUGUGAAUAAAUCUGCACAGAGCUGAUGAGCUGAUUUUAAGUCUCUAUGAAACUUUUCAACUCAUAUACUCUUUCACCAGUCUUAAAAAUAAAUACUGUGAUGGUGGUCCCGAGUUUGACAUGUAAUGAAUCAGCUAUUAUUGUCAUGUUUUAAUGUAGUUAGUACUGUAAAACUAAAAUUGGGCUUGUUGUACAUUUUCUAUUUUAUAACCACAAGUUUGGUUAAUAUGUUAUUACAGGACAUCUCUUUUUUUGAAAAGCAUCUCCAAACUUGAAGGCUGCACAGGAACAAUUCAAUUUAUUGGUGAUGCUUACAUAGUGCAAGUAAAAUUCCAUCACCAUUAAAUGUUUAGAAGAAUUCAUCUUCAAGAUCAUAAUGAAGGGUCAGAGUGUAUCUUUACACUUUCCGUGAGGAUAUUUAAAGUAAUAUAUGAUGUAGUGUCUUUUUGUUUUGUUUCAAUUUCACUAACAUGAAUGUGGAAGUGUAAAGAGUAUGCAGCACAAGAGGCUACAAGAUCUCAGUCAUUGAAGCACUACAGGUUAAACCACAGCCACUUUGGCUGGAGACACCCUUAUCCAUGCACAUAUUUAAAUUUUCCAUGCACCUUUAAAGCUUGGAAUGCACCCCAAAGUUACCUAUGUAGAUCACAUGUUGAUCAGACAUUGCAGAGAUCUGUAGAUUCCUGGUGAGAUGAUUAAAGACAAGCUUUUCAUUGCUGAUUUUAAAAGAAGGUGACCAGCUGUCUUUUCUGAGUGUGAGGUAUUAUUAUCAUUAUAUUGUCUUGAUUAUUCCAUUAACAAAAAAAAAAAAAAAUUGUAAAGUGUUCAAAUUUUUCAUGAAUAUUCACCCAGAGCUAGAAAUUGCAAUUUUCAAAUUGGAUUUGUAGUUAAGAAAGAGCACCACUCCCACGUCUCAUUAUUUCACAUUGUUUAACUAAAAUGAAUCAGGAAAUAAAAAUGCAUUUCAUGGAUUUUCCUACAUCAUAUUGUUCUGGUCCACCAAACACAUUUUUCACAUUUUACUGUAAUUCUUAAAUGUUUGCAGGUGGAAGCAGAGUUUGCCUGCAUCACCACUGUCCUACUGACAUCCAAGUUCAUGCAACAGCUAGAAUUCUGUGUGGGUUAUUUUUGGGUGCUAUAACUUUUGGUGUUUCUUCCUUUCUAUAAUAACCUUUUCUCACAAGAUUUUUUACAAAGUAAGUAGAUUGGGAAAAAUCUCCCUAAACUUAAGAUUUAAACUGUUUAAACUGAUACUUUCAGCUGCAGAAACUAUUAAAAGUUUUGGGUAUUGUGGACUUUUCAGUGAUUACUUUUUGUGUUUCUUCCUUGUAGUUUAUUUUACUAGUGUUGUUUACUGCACAAUACAACAAUAAUCUCACACAUCGCCCUUUUCUUUGCGGUAGGAAGGUGACAUUUAAACUAAAAGAGCUUGUGUACUGAAGGUGCUAAUUGUUUAUCUCACUGAAGACCCAGAAACCCUCAUAAAGGAGAACAUGAUAAGUUUAGUGGCCUCUACUUUACACAAAUUUGCUCUCUGGAAGCAAAGAGAAUGUUUUUGCAGGUUUGUGUUCUGGCUAAAGAUGUAUUUAUUUUUAUUUUUAGGAAUCUGAGAACAACCAUUAGGGAAUGUGGCAGGUCCAGAACCCACAGACGACCUUGAAAAUGUUGGACUAAUCACUGAAUGUGUCGAAGUGCUUCAUGACCUUGGUAACAUUGCAAAUCCAGUUGCCAUUUUGUUUGGCCUCAUUUACUCACUGGUCUUGAGCUACAGUUGAGCUACUUGAGUUCAGACAAGAAACUGCAAGAAAACAGAGAAGCACUGAAAGACUGUUUAGUGUAACCUUGAAAUGGAACUGCAGAACACAUGGAACAAGGGCUUUUGUCCCCAACGAUCAACAGAACUGGAAAGUUUUGGAUCCAGACAUUGAACUACUAAUGGCCUUUGGAAAUUAUGUCCGUAUGUUUUAGCAGACUUUUAAAUUGUUCAUAUGAGGUUUUCAUUUUAUGUCGGUCAAGGAAGGGGGAAAGAUAAAAAUGGUGUCAUGGUCUGGGUGAGUUGCAGUGUUUCUCCAGCAGCUCUAGGUUUCAACCCCCAGGUGGAGCCAUAUUACCCCACCUAUUCUCCACACCUGUUGGCAAUUCAGCUGGCGGUAUUUAAGACCAGCGCUCUCAUACCUCUCAGACCAUUCACUCAUCUGUGCAGUUCCUUACCUACUUUUUCAUCGCUGGUCACUCCGUCAUUCAGAUGACCUGCUCCACCUGCCUGCCCCCCUGCCGUCACCUCUGGUCUUGGAACUCUCGGGAACUCUGGACUGUCUGGAUCACAGUCAAAUUGACACUCACCCCGAACCCGCUGGCGGUUUUCUCCCCACGCUCCCUCCGACCUGCUCACAAAGCCUCUGACCCCAGCACCUUUUAUCCUGAUCCCCUUCCUGCGCUGUACCAUAAUUGCCACCACUAGAAUCACAUAUAGCUACAUUUUGUAGUUUCAAUUUUUGUGUGUUUAUAAAUAAAUAUUCAGUUUUGGGAAAAUCACUCAGCCUCCGCCUCUGUCUGCAUUCCAGCCUGUUGUACUGGCAACCCUGCCGUGACAAACGGAGAAUGUAACAAAGAUUGGCAUGAAAGAGGGGGAAAUGAGAGAUGUCAGAAGGGUUGUGUACCAUAUCUGAGCUGGUGAGUCCAGUCAGUCUACGUCAGAUGGUCGUCACAAAUUUGAGGAACCGGCCUUUAAGCAGCAGCCCUUUGGACUCCAUGAACAAUCAAAUCCUCUCCCUUUACCAUGACCUUGUUACGGGGUCCAAGGAGUUUCCUCAUAUUGCAGUCAGGGGAUUGUUUCACUCAGAGCAGAUGAGGACACCUUUUACCCCUGUGCUGCAGAGUUAGAGGGAGAACGCCACUCCAUCUCCUUCUACAGACUCACCAGCUGGUAUGAUGGUGCUGCCUGCAUGGUGCCACUUACAUUCUUAGAUCCUGACUCCUGUACUUCCAGACAAGGUGGAUAUUUAUGCGCUGAACACAGACCGGAGGAACAGUGUCCACACCCUGGAUGUCAGCCUCAUCGUCACCAGAGUCAUCUCUGCUGUUUAUCGCACAGAAAACAGUGAGAUGACAAGGCACUGGAGAGUCAGACUACAGCUCAGAGGACAGCGUUAUCAUGUCGGGAGAUCUGCCAGUUUCUAAAGAUGUUUGUAAAGGGUUAUGAAGAGGAAAAGAGCAGCAGCAGGAGCCCCACUCCACCAAAGAAACUGUGAAGCCUUCUCUGGAGAACUUAUUUUCUCAAGACUCUAAGUUUUAAGACUUCUGUCAACUGCAUUGGACAUAUGGCAGGGCUGUGACUGGAUGUUGAACCAGGGACAUCUAUUGUAGAGCCAACUGUAACUCGAACUAAGGAUCCAUAAAGACAGUGCCAAGUGUAAAUUAUCCUCUGCUGCAUCUUAGACAACAGCAAGAAUGAACAAAGUGGUGAGUAAUAAGUAAUGUUUUAGGUUGUCUCUAAAUUGAUGUCCCAAAAUGUUAAAAAACAUCUUGAAGUUUUAACUUUUUAUUGUUGCUUUUCUGCUUUUUGCUUUUAAAAGUCAGAAGAAAAAAGAAGAGACACCACACAAAAGAAUUUCCCUCAUUAAAUUACACUGAUUUAGUUUAGUUUGUAUGUCGGCUUUUCAUUUAAAGGUUUCAGGUUCUAGUUUCUUUACUGUGCUGUGCUCCACCACUCCUGCAGCCUAGAACUGGUCUAGUAACUUAUGUGUCUUAUAGUGACAUAAGGGCUUUAGCUCUCAAAUUUUCUCUCUAAAAUAUUAAUUUUACAGUAUUUUCACGGCCUCAAAGACAAAAACCCACACGCAUAUCGAUCAGUUGGGCAAACUUGUUGACACUGUUCUUCAGAGGAUAAAGUGCUGGUGGCGUGUUCCACCACCAGACUUCCACACAAUGUUCCAGAGAUGUGCUAACCAGGAAAGCACAAGAGCCUUAAUGCCAUUUCCAGAACUUUUUUUUUUUUUUAAAUUUAAUUGUAAUUCUAAGAGUCGUUUGGCACAUGUAAAUAAUGAUCAAAUGAUAACUACAACAGCAGUAUUAAUAAUAUUAAUAAUGGUACAAAUAGUUAUGAUUACUGAUUAUUUUUACAUUUUUAAGAUAGCCAGACCUUCAUCAUUUGUUCUAAAUCUGUGUGUAGAGCACCAGCAGAUUCAUGUAUUAAAAUAUAGAUGAAUCACUGACUUGUGACACUGUUUCAGUUUCUUUAGUCAUAUCUCCUCCUGUUUUCUUACUUUAGUGAUGUAGGUGUCUCUCUUACACCAUCAUCACUUUCUCCACUUCACCUUGAGGUAAACUUGCUUAUUUACAAAGAGAAGUAGAAGCAUGGCAGUAUAUGGAUGAUUCAGAGUCAACACACACAGUGGUAAGAACAAAAUUUGCACAGGUUUCAUGUAAUUUUGUGUGUGCACUUUUUUUUUUUUUUUUUUUUUUUGCACAGGAUAACAAUGUUUCCAUACAUAUACUGAAUGAGGUCCAAUGUUAUUCACAGGAAAACUGGAUCUACUUAGUUCUGCCUGUAUUUUCUUCACAUGGCUACACUGCUACGAUCGCACAAUUUUAAGGGUUUAACCAGCCAAAGAGGGAAUAGUGCCACUCCACCUUGGAAGAUGAGGGCAGAUUCAAAGUUUUUAUAUUUUGUGUUUAUUGGUUGUUGGAACAUUCAGAGAAUCCCCUGACCACAUUAUUGAGGUUUACAGAUACAGUGACAUCUGUAUGUACACAGCUGUGCUACAGUGCAGUUAUGUAGAGCCUCAGCAAAGAUGAAUACUGUCAGAAACAUCAGUUUUAUUCCUUCACUGUAUUUUUUUAUAACUGAAAAUGAAUAGGAAACCUAUAAAAGAUUAUAAAACACAUUAACACACAGAGUACAUUAUAACACAAACAAUCAUACUGGCAAUGAUUGCAAGUACUAAGUCAAUUAAAAUCCAUCAAGAAUGCAGUGUUUAUUUAAGGUUUUGUUUCUUUCAUUACACUCUCAGAUGACAUGUGCUUUUCAAACAUUACCUUUAAACUGUUUAAUAUAGCGGUCAUUCCAUCCAUUCACCUUUUAUCUGUAAUACUUUUGAGAUGUUUUGUGUUUGAGACAGUGCAGAUUUCUGGUAUUUUGUGUAAAUUUAAGCAUUUAACAAUUUGAUUAUUUCUAAUUUUAAAAAAAAAAGAGUGUGAAACUGAAGUUAGACUUGUGUUUGGAAAUAAACCACCCCGUGUUGUGUAGCUUUCUGGAUUACUGGACUACAUACUCAUUUAUUAUAUUGGCUAUACAGUGGUCCCUCGCUGCAGUUCACCUCUGGCAGCCUCGCUGUUUCACUGAUUUUUCUUUGUGUGCAAUUUUCCAUGUCAAUAAACACAACAAUGUCAAUGAAACGUUUUGCACCGUCAAA